rnacentral:lncRNA from 1 species
AUUUUUCUAUGCCUGGCGGUAGCCUCUCUGCCUCAGGUGCUGGCCGGAUGGAGGAGGUGUGAGGCCCCUCCCUGGCCCCUCAGAAGAAAGCUGGAACUGCCAGGGGAGUCCAGGCUUAAGGGACUCGUCCCCACCUGUCAUGCGACUGUCCCAGUAACCCUCACGAGGGUGUGGACUCGACAAAUAUCUAGAUAUAUGGUGGACAUGGCCCCAAGUCAUGGGGAGAGUAGAGCAGCCUGGGCCCCCCCACCCCCAAGGUUCUAAGCUGACUUUCAAGUUAGGUUGGAGAAAAGGGUGCCAAAGAAGCGAGACUUCCACAUAGUUUUUAAGCUACCCUGGAUUUACUGAGGGUGUACCUGGACAUGGGAGAGGUUUUUAACUGGAAAGUGUGUCCCCUAUCUGCAUGCUGGUCUCUCUCUCUCUCUGCCCAACUCUUGCACCCAAAAAUGAGGUGAGGGCAGGUCUCCACCCACCUCUUGCCUGCUCACAGACCCACUCGUGAGUCGGGAAAGCCUCAGCUUUGGGGUGUGGGGCUUUGUAGAAGUGGAAGGAGAUUUGAAGUGGCUAUCUCCUACAACGGAAAAUAUCCUUUUAUAAUUUUUCUUUUUAACGUUUUAUUUCAGAUACAUAUUUUAGUGUCGAGGCAGAUUAGUAUAUAGCCACCAAAAAAGUAUUGUGUAUAAAUUGAGGCAGCCACAAAAUUGUGUAUUUUAUGUUACAAUAAAGGCGUCUCCUUGAAGG